CAGUAGCCGCGGGAAUACGUAGGGUGCAAGCGUUAAUCGGAAUUACUGGGCGUAAAGCGCGCGUAGGUGGUUCAUUAAGUUGGAUGUGAAAGCCCUGGGCUCAACCUGGGAACUGCAUCCAAAACUGGUGAGCUAGAGUACGGUAGAGGGUAGUGGAAUUUCCUGUGUAGCGGUGAAAUGCGUAGAUAUAGGAAGGAACACCAGUGGCGAAGGCGACUACCUGGACUGAUACUGACACUGAGGUGCGAAAGCGUGGGGAGCAAGCAGGAUUAGAUACCCCGGUAGUCCCUGUCUCUUAUAC
rnacentral:rRNA from 1 species